rnacentral:rRNA from 1 species
UACGGGGGGGGCAAGCGUUGUUCGGAAUUACUGGGCGUAAAGGGCUCGUAGGCGGCCAACUAAGUCGGAUGUGAAAUCCCCAGGCUCAACCUGGGAACUGCAUCCGAUACUGGAUGGCUUGAAUCCGGGAGAGGGAUGCAGAAUUCCAGGUGUAGCGGUGAAAUGCGUAGAUAUCGAGAGGAACACCUGCGGCGAAGGCGGGUUGCUGGGCCGACACUGACGCUGAUGCGCGAAAGCCAGGGGAGCGAACAGG